rnacentral:rRNA from 1 species
ACGGGUGAGUAAUAUAUCGGAACGUGCCCUAGAGUGGGGGAUAACUAGUCGAAAGACUAGCUAAUACCGCAUACGAUCUACGGAUGAAAGUGGGGGAUCGCAAGACCUCAUGCUCCUGGAGCGGCCGAUAUCUGAUUAGCUAGUUGGUGGGGUAAAAGCCUACCAAGGCAACGAUCAGUAGCUGGUCUGAGAGGACGACCAGCCACACUGGGACUGAGACACGGCCCAGACUCCUACGGGAGGCAGCAGUGGGGAAUUUUGGACAAUGGGGGCAACCCUGAUCCAGCAAUGCCGCGUGAGUGAAGAAGGCCUUCGGGUUGUAAAGCUCUUUUGUCAGGGAAGAAACGGUAGUAGCUAAUAUCUACUACUAAUGACGGUACCUGAAGAAUAAGCACCGGCUAACUACGUGCCAGCAGCCGCGGUAAUACGUAGGGUGCAGGCGUUAAUCGGAAUUACUGGGCGUAAAGCGUGCGCAGGCGGUUGUGUAAGUCAGAUGUGAAAUCCCCGGGCUCAACCUGGGAAUUGCAUUUGAGACUGCACGGCUAGAGUGUGUCAGAGGGGGGUAGAAUUCCACGUGUAGCAGUG